rnacentral:rRNA from 1 species
UACCGCGUGAGGGAUGAAGGAUUUUGGUCUGUAAACCUCUUUUCUCAAGAAAGAAGUUCUGACGGUACUUGAGGAAUAAGCAUCGGCUAACUCCGUGCCAGCAGCCGCGGUAAUACGGGGGAUGCAAGCGUUAUCCGGAAUCAUUGGGCGUAAAGCGCCUGUAGGUUGUUUAAUAAGUCUGUUGUUAAAGACUAGGGCUCAACCCUAGAAAAGCAAUGGAAACUGUUAGACUAGAGUAUGGCAGGGGUAGAGGGAAUUUCUAGUGUAGCGGUGAAAUGCGUAGAUAUUAGAAAGAACACCGGUGGCGAAAGCGCUCUACUGGACCAUUACUGACACUCAGAGGCGAAAGCUAGGGUAGCAAAAGGGAUUAGAUACCCCUGUAGUCCUAGCCGUAAACGAUGGAUACUAGAUGUUGUAUGUUAUUUACAGUAUCGUAGCUAACGCGUUAAGUAUCCCGCCUGGGGAGUACGCUCGCAAGGGUGAAACUCAAAGGAAUUGACGGGGGCCCGCACAAGCGGUGGAGCAUGUGGUUUAAUUCGAUGCAACGCGAAGAACCUUACCAGGGCUUGACAUACUACAGAUUCUUUUGAGAGAGAGAAGUGCCUUCGGGAAUGUAGAUACAGGUGGUGCAUGGCUGUCGUCAGCUCGUGUCGUGAGAUGUUGGGUUAAGUCCCGCAACGAGCGCAACCCUUAUUUUUAGUUACCAAUUCGUUGGGUUCUCUAGAAAGACUGCCGGUGACAAACCGGA